GGACGAAAGUCUGACGGAGCAACGCCGCGUGAGUGAAGAAGGUUUUCGGAUCGUAAAACUCUGUUUUCAGGGACGAAUGUGCAAUAUGUGAAUAAUGUGUUGUAAUGACGGUACCUGACAAGAAAGCCACGGCUAACUACGUGCCAGCAGCCGCGGUAAUACGUAGGUGGCAAGCGUUGUCCGGAAUUAUUGGGCGUAAAGCGCGCGCAGGUGGGAUAAUAAGUCUGAUGUUAAAGUUCGGGGCUCAACCCCGUGAAGCAUUGGAAACUAUUAUUCUUGAGUGCAGGAGAGGAAAGUGGAAUUCCUAGUGUAGCGGUGAAAUGCGUAGAUAUUAGGAGGAACACCAGUGGCGAAGGCGACUUUCUGGACUGUGUCUGACACUGAGGCGCGAAAGCCAGGGUAGUGAACGGGAUUAGAUACCCCGGUAAUCCUGGCCGUAAACGAUGGGUACUAGGUGUUGGGGGUAUCGACCCCUCCAGUGCCGGAGUUAACGCAAUAAGUACCCCGCCUGGGGAGUACG
rnacentral:rRNA from 1 species